GUAUCCAUGAGGUCUGGUUACUUGCUUAUCUUUGAGUGCUUACAGACCAAAAUGAAAGGAUAUUUUUGCUGUAGCUCAUCCCUACAUCACUUAAAUCCAGCAUAUGUGAAGGAAGAGGUUUGCAAGUCUCUCUUGCUACCCCAUGGUGGUAUUUUUGGUGGUGGUGGUGAGAACUAAACCAUCAGCCUGGGCACAGAGACCAGGGCACAGCCCAUGCUGACAGCCCAUAGCCAGCGCCUCCCCCCAGAAGGAGGGCAGCCCACCUUGUGCAUCAGCUCAGUGCACGAAGGACUUGGAAAGGAGGAGGGAAAAAAAAAAAACACCAACAUGUGAGCACAAGGGCUUGGACGUUACCGGGGAGAAAAAAAAGCCACAGCGGCAAUAAAAUUAAUUUCCUUCUCUAAUAUAUACAAGACUUUCUCUAGGAGAAUUAUGACCCAAGCUGAUCAAAGUCUGUAAGUGGUACUUAUGCUAUCAGUUUCACCCCCUUAAUGCCCUCCUGUCAAAACAAAAUCCCUUCGAAAGGCUUUGAGGAAAAUCACAUGAGCAUAAUGGCUUUCAAAAAAAUGGCCCUAAGUACUCGGUAACAUAUACAGAGAAGACUAUUAGAUCGGCUGGUGUAAUUGUACUUAUAUUCAAAUGUAAACAUUCUUAUAUGAGCAAGUUACUGCUUACCCACAGAGCGGAGCACAGGCGGAUCAGGCUGAAAAUGCUUCAGUUAUCAAGGGAAAGGGGAGGGGUGGGCAGCGGUGAGAACUUUGCCCUAAGGCAGGAUGGUGAUUUUGGGCAGAAUUAGAUAAAAGGAGAAGGGAAGGAUGGGGCUUAUUAAAGAGCCAUUUGGAGAUGCACACAGAGAGGGUGAAAUUCAGGUGGGGUGCAAUUUGCAGUGUCGUGCUGCUCGCAGGACCACGCACCCUCUUUGCCAUAUGGCUUUUCUCCCUGGGGACACCAGCUCAGUCUACCCCAAGGUAAGACCAGGUCGACUAGGCAAGGGCUUUUUUUUUUUUUUUUCCUCCU
rnacentral:lncRNA from 1 species